GCCAUUGUUGUUUGUUCCCAUCUGUGGUUCCCAUAUUGUUCCCUUCAUCAUUGAUGCAUUGUUCGCCUUGUUAUGGCCUUGUUGCACAACUUAUUCCUUACUCUAUGGAUUAAGCACAGAAGUCACAAUACAAUCGAUGUCCAGAAUCAUGCCAGAAUGUUAUUGGUCUAUGGUGUAUGUCUGAAACAAAAAAAACCUGUGAAAAAAACAGAACAAAAACAGUGAAAAGUGACAAAAACUUUGGACAAAAAUAAUUUUCUAUUUUCUUCUGAAAUUUUUACGAAUGGAAAAAUCAUCCUUAACAAAUGCAACUAUUGGUCGUGUUUUCGGUCUCCACAUUUUCCUUUCAUAAGAUUUCUAUUUUGUGAAAGAUAAUGCCUAGCGCUAAUAUUAUUUAUUUUUGAUUUAAGUAUUUAAAGAAAUACAUUAUUAUUUAUUAGUAAAUGGAGUUGGAGUGGCACAAGACUGCAUUAAAUGAUGAAGACCAACCAACUCAUUAUGGUCCAAAACAUUCACACUCAACUAAACAGAGAUCUUCAGAAUCCAUGACUGAACAGCUAUCCAAGGAGGAUACCGCUGAAGACACAGCUUCAAUGCUGUUGCUCAAUUAUGACAACAAGCUGUAUGAUGAGGAUGACACUUCUCAGCCAACUUCCCGCACUGCACCUAUAAUUCCUAUUGAGGCAACACGCAAGAAAAAGAAAAGAAAGAGAUCACAAAUAUCGAUUUGUUUAACGAACUGCCGCUACGAGUCGAUACGCAAAGUGGCCAGCGCGUUCGGCAUGCGGGAAGUCUCUGAAGAGGAAGCAUGGAACUUUUACUGGACAGACAUGAGCGUUUCUGUUGAACGGGCCAAGGAAAUGAAAAGGUUUCAACGCAUCAACCAUUUCCCUGGAAUGCUUGAGAUUUGCAGGAAAGAUUUGCUCGCGAGAAAUUUAAAUAGAAUGCAAAAAAUAUAUCCCAAAGAAUAUAAUUUCUUUCCAAAGACUUGGUGUUUGCCUGCUGAUUUCAGUGAAGCAUUUAACUACAGCAAGGCGCGCAAAAACAAGACGUUCAUAAUAAAGCCGGAGUGCGGCAGCCAGGGCCGCGGCAUCUACCUCACUAAAUCGCUCAAAGACAUCAAGCCCACAGAUAAACUAAUUUGUCAGGUAUACUUGGCGAAACCAUACCUGGUGGAUGGCUAUAAAUUCGACAUUAGAGUGUACACACUCAUUACAUCCUGUGAUCCGCUUCGGAUUUUUGUUUAUAAUGAAGGUCUUGUCAGAUUCGCCACCAGCAGAUACGCGGAUCCCAACGCAAACAAUACGACCAACGUGUUUAUGCACCUCACCAACUACGCGUUGAACAAGCACAGCCGCACCUACGUCUACGACUCCGAGGCGGGCAGCAAACGCAAGAUAUCGACGCUGAACAAGAUACUGCUGUCGCAAGGCGUGGACCUGGACCGGCUGUGGCACGCCAUCGACCAGGUCAUCGUCAAGACCAUCAUCUCCGCCUGGCCCAUCCUCAAGCACAGCUACCACGCGUGCUUUCCCUCGCAUGACAUGGUGCACGCCUGUUUCGAGAUACUCGGUUUCGAUAUACUUCUAGAUCACAAGCUCCAUCCUUACAUUUUAGAGGUGAACCACUCGCCAAGUUUCCACACAGACACGCAGCUGGACCGCGAGGUGAAGGAGGGGCUGCUGACCGACACCUUCACCAUGCUCAACAUCUGGCAGUGCGACAAGAAGCGCGUGCUGGAGGAGGACCGCAAGCGGAUACGCGAACGCCUGCUGCAGACCAACAAAUUUGCGGAAUACACUCCCACUGAAGAAAAAGAACCUGAAAAGAGUCCUUGGCAGACACAAAUACAAUGGGAAGAAACACAUUUAGGAAAUUACAGACGCGUGUACCCAGUGGGCGAGCAGUACGCGAGUCUGUUCCAGCAGCCGUCGGGCUCGCUGUACACGGGCACGGCGUCGUCGCGCGCGCGCGGCGACUGCACGCGUCUGCAGCGCGAAGAGUUCCAGCAAACAAAGGCAAAAGCUGAAGCUUUAAAGAAACCAUCGCAACCGAAGUCCAAAGAGGCAGAUAAGAAGGAAAAGGACGGAGAAGAGGCGACCAUCGCGAGCGUUACGAGCGAGCAGACACGGCCGCGCGCGCGCGAACUGAAGCGCAAAGAGAAAGACGAUAAGAACAAACUGUCCACUAAGCCUUCUCUAGUGCAACAACCGGUUUCCCAAACGGAAGUAAAAGAGAAGAAACCGACGAAGCCGCCAUACGUUCUAUGCUCGUACGAGCCCGACCCCAUUGUGGAGAAAGAGGAGCGCGAGCGCGUCAACCAGCUGGCGCAGAGGGACUUCCUUAUCCGCAGCUACGGCAUGCUCGAGCAGAUUUAUCUGAUUAUGAAAAAAAUGGGCACUUUACGACCCGAAGACGAACGGAAGUACGGUGUGUAUGGACGUCUAUCAGUUGUGUCCAAUUCACCACCUAAGAAGAAUAAUGUUAACUAGAUGCAGCAAAAUUGACAAAAACAUUAAAAAUGUUAAAAGAAUAAUAGAAGAAUAUAAAAUUUUGUGUGCAGCUAAAAAUAAAGGACAAAGAGAAAACACAUAAAACGAGCAAUCACAGACAGCACUUGGACGAUAUUCAAUGACACAAUAAACAGCCAUACAAAAGGAAAAUGGAACAUGUCUGAUGUCACACUUGUGUUCAGGAAGCAUAUACUUGGAGCUUCAUCAAAUACGUCAUUUUAUAGUGUCUUUCAACAAAUACGCAAUAAUUGUUAUCUUUUAAUGCUAGUAAUUCAUCCAUUUUGUCUGUUAAAAAUAAAUACUAAUUAUGUAAAUUCCAGUGAACUAAAAAGAGCAGAAGUCUGUAAGAACAGUUAUUGUGUUACCUGAUAUUAAUUAUUGAAAUGCAAUAAAAGAGAUUUUUUCAUUACCAAAAAUAUAUUUCUAUAUCAUUUGUCCUACGAUUAUCUUACCCCUACAACAUACACCAGAUGCUAAGCCCAGCUUCAAUCAAUCCAUAAUAAUAUAAUCAUUAAAAUAAUACACAUAAUAUUACCAGUUGUCUAAAGAGAAACAAAUAAUACUAUAAAAUAGCUUCUUGUGUCAUUAAUUGCACAUUUGUCGUAAGGUGUCUUCACACACAAGCAGGACAUAAAAAAAUUGUCUUGUAAGUAUAUCUAAAUAAUCAAAUUUCAUAAUUAAUAAUUAUAAUGCAAGUUAUCUAUUGAACAAAAGAAUACUAAGAUUUUGUUAA